UACGUAGGGGGCUAGCGUUGUCCGGAUUUAUUGGGCGUAAAGAGCGUGUAGGCGGCCAUGUAGGUCCGGUGUGAAAACUCGAGGCUUAACCUCGAGAUGUCAUCGGAAACCAUUUGGCUAGAGUCCGGAAGAGGAGAGUGGAAUUCCUGGUGUAGCGGUGAAAUGCGCAGAUAUCAGGAAGAACACCAAUGGCGAAAGCAGCUCUCUGGGACGGUACUGACGCUGAGACGCGAAAGCGUGGGGAGCGAACAGGAUA
rnacentral:rRNA from 1 species